UGUAUUCCUUAUCUGUUUCUAAUCAGUGGAUUUGUCUGGAGCCUGUCUUCCUGCGUUCUGUUCCUGCCGGAGAAAGCGCAGGAAGACAGGCCCUUCGUCUUGUUGCCGCACACGGCCGCCAG
rfam:Dickeya dadantii 3937, complete genome.